GCCUCCUUUGUUUUCUUAUGUGUUUUAUAGUUUUAGAUCAUAUAUUUAGGUCUAUGAUCCAUUUGAAGAUAAUUUAAUAUGUGGUGUGAGGUAGGGGUUGAAGUCAAUGAUUUUCCCACGUAGAUGUCCCAUUUUCCAGCAUCACUUGCCAAAUAACCUCAGCACUCUGGGUAACUGGACUGUAAAAUGGCAUCUAAUGAACACCAUCUGUAUCCAGGGCCCUGUAUAAUCUCCUCCCGCUACAUUGGUUGUAUCACAACCAAUACUCUGUAAUUUUGCCAAAAUUAAAGACUAUAAUAUACAAUGCUACUGGUCAAAAAAGCAUUGGCUUCUGCAUUGGUGUCUAGAUAUCCAGCCACUCUAUGAAGAGUUAUACUUGGUGAGGAACUGAAACCUCCUACCCACAGCCAGGAUUUACCUGCCAGACAGUGAUCCUCUACAUAGAAGACCCAGGAAAUUUCACCAAAAGACUCUUAGAAUUAAUAACCAAAUUCAGUAGAUAUAAUAUUCAGCAAGAUAUAAAACCAAAAGACUCAAAAAUCAAGUGUUCCUGUGUUCCAAUAAUAAACUCACUGAGAAGAAAUUAGGAAAAUAAUACCAUUCACAAUAGCAUCAAGAAAAAUUAAAUACUAUGGAAUUAACCUAACCAGUGAAGCAAAAGACCUCAACAACAAAAACUACAGAACUCUGAAAAAGGAAAUCAAAUUGAACAUCAAAAAAUGGAAAGAUAAACCUUGUUUCUGGACAAGCAGAACUCAUAUUGUCAAAGUGGCCAUACUUCUAAAAUUGAUAUACAGAUUUAAUGUACUCUCAAUCAAAAUACGAAACUAGAAGAAAUAAUCUGACAAUUUAUAUAGAACCAGAAAAGACCCAGAAUACCAAAAGCAAUCCUGUGAAACAAGAGCAAAGCAGCAGGCAUCACAAUCCCACCCUUCAAGUUAUUCUAGGAAGGGUUGGGUAUUUAGCUCAGUGGAACCGCGUCUGCCUCGCAAGCUCAAGGUCCUGAGUUCGAUCCCAGGUACAGGAAAAAAACAAAAAAAGUCUCACAAGGUAGUCUAGAAAGGCAAGCGCAUGCGCGGCGGCUGUGCAGUGUCUGUGGGGCUGGCCAAUCAGGCCCAGGAUGUAGGGCGGUAGUACUGGAGGGUGAGCCUGAAGGAGCUCAGAUGGGGUAGAGAGUAGGGUUGGUAGUCAGGGGUGGUGAGAGAAGGAGGAGGUGGGGAAUCACUUAUAAAUGUCGCCCAAGCAGGACCCAAAGCUGAAGUUCCAGGAGAAUGAAAGAGUACUGUGGCCUCGUGGGCCUCUUCGUUAUGAAGCAAGGUGUGUAAAUGUUGUCAUAAAGGGCAAACAAGUAAAAUACCUUAUACAUCACAGUGGUUGGAAUAAGAAUUGUGACGAAUGGGUUCCAGAAGGCAGAGUACUCAUAUCUGGACACCCUUAUGCAGAAACAGCCAGACUUUCAAAAAGCCAAUCUCUGCAGGCGUAGUGGUGCACACCUGCAAUCCCAGCACUGGGAAAGCUGAGGCAGGAAGACUGCCGUGAGUUCGAGGCCAGCCUGGACUACACAGCUAGACCCUGUCUAAAAAAAAAAAAAAAAGCCAAUCAGAAGCAAUAUACAGAGGAAAAGCUGAGAGGGGCUGCUCCAGGAGAGAAGACAUCUUGGUCUGAAACAGAAAAAUGUUGAAGUGAAAACAAAAACCUCUGGUAAUGGAGACGGUGGCAGUACCAGUGAGGCACCUCAGCCUCAUCCUCCAACAAUGGCCCAGGCUGAGCACAGAUCUUUAUGAUGGAGCAGAAUGUACAUGUGUGUGAAAGGAAGGUGAGUGUGUGGACUGUGGUUAUGUGGAGUCUCUCUGUAGGGCUGUGGUCCCUCUGUGGGUUAAGAAGUCGACAUUCUCAAGCUGAGCAUGACGUUGUGUGCCUGAAGUCCCACGUACUCAGAACUCAGGAGUUUAAGACAGUCCUGGAGAGCACAGUGGGAUGCUGUCUCAAAAACAAAACAAAACAAAACACCCCCCAACAAACAAACAAAUGAAAAACCCACAAAAGGUCUACAUUUUCCAGCCUUCUUAUGAGGUCUCCAGACAAACAUGGUGGUUAAUCUCAAAGGGAUUCCUCGGGAAUUUUCUGGGAUUGGUAGGGGAACAGCAUGCCUAUUCUCGCAGCAGAAAUAGCUCUCAGGUCCAUAACUAUGCUUCUAUCAAUCACUGGUGAUCUGUUAAAAGACUUUAGAGGAGAAACAUCAACUGGAACCCUCACUUGCAUUCACAUUUUUUAACAUCGAAGAAGACUCAACACUAGAGACUUCCAGGAAGACAGCGGAGUGGUGAGCAACAAAGAAAGAGCCUCUCUGAGAUUUGGUGUCCUGAUACUGGAAUAUAGCAGCAUAAGGAGGAGGAGAAGGAGGGAAGUGAGUCCCUGAGACCCAGAAAGGAUGUGAAGUGAGAAUUGAAGCCCAUGGGGAGAGCGAAGAGCAGCUUCAACAAAGAGGAGGGAGGUGGGAGGUAGCGCUUUGUCCCUGAGCCCAGACUCAUGGUGUGGGAAGGGCAGCUGAAACCUGCAGACACAUGGUGACAACUGGUAACCCCAGAGGCCUCCACAGAGAAACACACAAGUGGAACAGAGCAGUGGUUGUAGAGAACUGCAGUGGCUGGUGAGUUAUUUGGAUUCAGACAUCCCCCAGGAGAGGGUGAUUGGCUGGUAGACAAUCCCUUGGAGAGGGGCCAACUGAGCUCAGAACUCAGAACAGCUGCGGGCUGGCUCCAUCUAGUGGCUCCUGGUGUCUUGGUGAGGGAGCCAAGUUCAAACCAGCAGGAGGC